AUGGACACAACAUUAGACGUACAGCUCGUUGGCGGAUCUUUGGGAAACGCCGGGCGCGGCUGCAGCUUAAGGCAUUGGGCGGGUUCUUUCUCCCUCACCCCGUCUAAGGCCACCAACCUCCCUCCGAAGGCACAUGUCGGCACCGCCGUCACCCUCAAAUGCACCACCGUGAAGAACAAUACAGUACAUAAGCAUCAACCCGGCCGCAGGGAUCUCGUCCGUUCUAGCGCUAUAGCGGUUGGCAUGGGCAGGGUGGGGAUUAACAGCAGCAGCAGCUCAAGCCAAGCAAGGCAAGGAGAAGGGGCGGGGUGGGGUGGGGGUCGUCUCCAGAGAUUUUGGAGUCGGUAGCUGCCAAGCCUCAGCUGCCGACAAGCUCCCCUUUCCAAACCAGGGAGCAGAGUCAAUGCCGUUUCCCAAAGCACGGCAUUUCCCCAAUUUUACGGUAAAUAUCUAAACAUCCUGUAAAGCAAAAACAGACAAUCGUCUUUGAAAACAGUCAAGCGGGACAUCGAAAGGGCAUGUUUUGAUCCCACGCCCGAAGUUUCGCGUGGAAGGGGUUCGUCCAGAUUUUGAUUUUUUUAAAGUGCAACCACGUCCCAUGUAGACGCAGCCAAAUCUGGAUUCAAACCGGUUGAAGGAAGUGUCUUUUCUGCGUUGCAAAAGGGAAGGCGCCACUAUGUUUCUUAAAAACUGAAUUUGGUUUUAAAUCUGAAUUUCAAUGUUGACCCAAAAUUUGGGAGAACUGGUUUUAGAACCUGGGCUGAUGACUGAAGGCCGUUUUGGAUUUUAAUCCGAACCCCCUGCCAGUCUCCCGAUGCAGGUUUCUCAGUCCGGAAUUAAACAGGACGGAUCUAGGUUGGAUUAAGCACAGCCUUGUGUUUCCCGUGCAGAAUUUCAAAUGGGAAAAUCAGUACAAAAUGAAGACGCAAACCGGAUCCCGAACGGGAAGCGGUCUGCGCGGUUGAGCCAGGCCAUCUACUCCCGGGUGUGUGGCUUUACGGUGGAGCGCGGCUGCUGUUAACUAAGGUGCGAUACAGGAAUAAUUCCUGCUUUGAGCACAUCCCACAGGGAGACAUUCAAGUGCAAAAAAAACCCCUAACAACCCUUCAGAGUUUGCCUCGAGAGGACAAGACAAAUCUUAGAGGCUUGACUCGAACGGGAGGCUUUUCCUUUUACAAGCAGAAAGCCAGAUAGAUAUAAACACAGCUAUCUAAAGCAUUAUCGAACCAUAAAUGACAUUCUUUUCUCUCUCUCUCUCUCUCUUUUUUUUUUUUUUUUUUUGGUAAUAACAUCUUUGGCUUGGCUUUUUUAAAUAUAAGUUUUCCUUGUUAUAGAAAAAAAAGAUUUUUUUUUCUCUCCUUUAAAAAAACCCCUGAAGCAUCUUUAGCAUUUUACAUAUAAUAAAGUAUAAAUUCCUGCUGUAGAAAAUAACUUC
rnacentral:lncRNA from 1 species